rnacentral:lncRNA from 1 species
AGAAAAGAUGAGGCUGAGGUGGAGCAAACUAAGCUCCUGCUUGACGCGUUGUUUCUGAGAGGGAUACGAGCUGUUUUGGACGCAGGUCUGACACAGGCUUGUGAGACGGUGUGCAGCCAUCAUGAGCCCUGGAGCCGAGAGGCGGCGGAGCUUCCUGAGAGCACGUCUCUGUUACCCUCUGGAAUUCAGUCUGGAUAGAAAAUAGGAUGAAAACUGAUUUUGUUUUUUCAGGAUCGCAGAUGGUGUUGGUGUGGAAGACAUCUGUGGCACAGGGCAGAGAAGACAUGAUUGGCUUCCUCUUAAAGUCAGGGCCAAGGAUGUGCAAAAAAGAUCUAAGGAUGCCACGAGGAAUUCCAGCUCUGUCUGGCGCGCAUUCAGGGCAGGGUGACCAAUCACAACAGAUCCGGAGGCCAUCCACUGGGGACCCAGGGACACACUGAGUACCCGGUGAUCCAAGGUUUUCGUAUGUUUUUUUGGCAGAACCUGGAAUGAAGAAUAGAUGUGAUAAAUUGUGCUGUAUCAGGUCUGAUUCAGAGGGGCCCUGGGAUUCUGCCUUUCCCACAAGAUCCCAGCUGAUGCUGCUGGUCCACUCACCGCAGGGUGAGAAGCAAGGGCUGCAAGACCCUGGAGGCCUACACCCACUCCUCGCUUAAUCACCAGUUGAGUCAAAGCUUUUCCUUUCCUGGACAUUUCUUCUGUUUUACGUGCUCUCUGGCUACAGCCAUAUCAUUUUGCAGAAUCAACCGUGUCAUGUGGUAGGAAACCUUUGUCAGUCCUGUGGGUUUGCAUGGCCUUGGAAACAUUCCGUAAUCGAGAAGUGUUAAAC